rnacentral:rRNA from 1 species
CUCGUAGGCGGCUGCUCAAGUCGAAUGUGAAAACUCGAGGCUCAACCUCGAGCCUGCAUUCGAUACUGGGCGGCUAGAGUCUGGUAGGGGGAUCUGGAAUUCCUGGUGUAGCGGUGGAAUGCGCAGAUAUCAGGAGGAACACCGGUGGCGAAGGCGGGAUCCUGGGCCAGUACUGACGCUGAUGAGCGAAAGCGUGGGAGCAAACA